AGCUGGAUAGAGCAGUUUGGUAGCUCGUCGGGCUCAUAACCCGGAGGUCGUAGGUUCAAAUCCUGCUCCCGCAACCA
rnacentral:tRNA from 1 species